rnacentral:rRNA from 1 species
UACGUAGGGGGCAAGCGUUGUCCGGAAUCAUUGGGCGUAAAGAGCGCGUAGGCGGCCAGAUAAGUCCGGUGUGAAAGUCACAGGCUCAACCUGGGAAUGGCGAUGGAUACUGGCUCGCUAGAGUGCGGUAGAGGAGAGUGGAAUUCCCGGUGUAGCAGUGAAAUGCGUAGAGAUCGGGAGGAACAUCAGUUGCGAAGGCGGCUCUCUGGACCAGCACUGACACUGAGGCACGAAAGCGUGGGGAGCAAACAGG